CUCAGUUCAGUGAACUCAGGCUAUUGGCAUUUCAUAAUUUCCUCUUGUUCCAGCAGGUAAGGGAUUAACCUGUUGUUAUUCCUUUCUAAAGGAACAGAGAAGACAUACUCUGCUAAGACCCUGAUUUUUUUUUCUUUUAAUAGUAAUCCGUUGGGUUUUUAAAGAAGUAUUUUAUUGGAACCAUAAGGUUUCUUUUUUUGAAAGAGAGAGAAAAUUUGAAAUCCGGAGUUUAUUUUUCCUUCGGUGUCUUUCCUAAGAACCAACAGGAAUUGAGAUAUUUUUUCUUCUCUCUCGUGUUUGUGCCUACUUAUUAAAUACACAUGUGGCCUGGAUUCCUUGCGUAGGUGCAAAGAGGUUUGGAAAAGAAAGAAAGGUGUAACCCAGUCCAUUGACCUGUCUCUUUGCCCUUAGGACUCUUUCGAACAGCUGUGAGAAAAAGAAAAAGGGGGGGGGAGAGAGAAAAAAGGAGGCAGUUUAACGAGCCAAAUCCAGAUGUUCAUUUCAUCCACACACCCUGAACAGCUUUUGCAUGGUUUAUUUCGUUUUCUGAAACCAUUUUUCACCAGCCUGUUUUCUCAGCUGGGAAACUUCUGGUGUAGUGUUUUCAAAAAAAUAUUGCAUUUGGCAUUACAAGAAAACAGAGCCUUUAAGACAUUAAAAGGACAAUAUCCUUGUUUGACUUGGCCCAGGGAAGCAGAGCUAUAGGAAUUUUAGAUUUUCGUACCACCCAAAGAAUAGGUAAAAGAGAUUUUCCACUCUUAAACCCAGUUUACAUGGGAAUUUGAGAUUUAGCUUGAUUUUUUUUCUUUCAAAGACUACUCUGAGGACUUAAUGUUGUGAGACUUUAUUACCGUGAAGGAAUAAGCACAGCGAUAGCAACCAGUUGACAUCUAAAUUCUGAUGAGCCAUGGUUCAAAACUCAAACUGAUGCCGAAUGAGCCACAUUUUGGUUCUGUGGGGACCAGAUCCCGAUAUGCUCGUUUACACCAACAUCUACAGAAUGUAGACAGACAAAUUUGGAGUUAUUUAACAGUGGCACAGAUUCUCUUUGCUUACAGUAGAGGUAAACUACAGAACGUGAACCACAGUUCUUAUCAGCUGUGCGAACAGCACUGAUAGCAGAGAUGGUGACAGUGUCUACACAGAUUUUAGGGGUACCCCAACAGCUGGCAGGUAAUAAACAAAAUUAGGGAAGGUCAGGUGCAAGCCAGACCUACACCACUAUUGCUUAGCUAGUCAAGGGAUAUAUUGCCCUUCAGAAAAUGCAGUAUGUUGUAAAACCCCGACUCUCCUGAAGCCAGUGGGUGAUUUGUGGUUUGCUGUCUUUCACAGCUGAGGUAAAAAGCCCCUAUGUUUUUUACCUAUAAGAUUCUGCAAGUGCAUUGACUGUUACUUGUUGUAUUAGAGAGACACUUGAUCUAAAUUCCUCAAUGUACAGAAAGGUCUAUAACUUUGCAAAAAGUUUGAGCAAUGCUUUGAUGCUCUUUUUGUGGAAAAAUGUGGAAAUUGGGUAUAUUCAGAUACAGAAUUUGAAGACGUACCUUGAAGUUAAAUUAAAUAGAUAACAAAAAAAAGAAUUUGAAAGGACCUAACCGGAAAAACUGCAUUUCUAAUUUAACAAGUAAAUAGACAUUUUAAAGGUGUUAAAAUGUCCCUUGUCAUGUUUUGCUUUCACUUUGCUCUUGCUAAAAUAAGGACAAAUCAUGAAGUGUCUCUCUUUUGGCAUUACAGAGCAUUCAAGUAUAUAGUGUCCGUGUGCCUGUUUGUGCGUAUGUACAGGUAUGUGCAUCCUUAAGCCUUGGCAGUGCCUGGUAGUGGGAAUAUUGGCAUUUUGGUGUCAGAACACCACCAAACAGGCUAUAAAUAUUUGGUCCUUGAAUUAAUAUUCUCUUUGGACAGAAUUAAAAAAAAAAAAAUAGUAAGAAAAAAAUCAAAUUAAGACGUAAAAUGCAUUAAGGAGAUUAUUUGGCCAGUACAAAACUAAAGUGGAAAGCUGCCAAGCAGUACUAGUAAGUUCUGUUGAGGAAACCAGUAGUCUUUUUAAAGCCACUGGUACACAGACUGAAUAAUCUUGGAAAACGUAUAUAUUAUCUGUCCAUUUCAGAAGACUGAAAACUUGUGAUGUAAAACAGUGCCCUGAUGUGGUUUUUUCCUCUCCUGUUUAUCUGGCAGUAUGCAUUACAUAUAGGUGUGUGUAUGUCUCUGCAUUUAUUUGCGUGCUUACUGUUUUAUUUGUAGGCUUGUGUAGGAUAUUAUACACAUCUAUACAAAAGUGUAUGUUUAUUAUUUGAUUUAAAAGCACAAUGUGUUUGUGUGGAUAUCAAACUUAGAACCCAAGCAGCUUCACAUCUGACUUUUGGUAAUACGAACUCCGAACAUCCAAGCUCAGAGACAGAUAAAUCCAGGAACUUCUUAAUGGAUUGUUGUCAUGACUCUGCAUUUGGAAAUAUUCUGUCAGUCAAUGUAUGUACAAUGCACUUAGAUAUUUGCCUUUGGAAAUGUAAUUUUAGAUUCUCUCUAAAAGGCAAGCAAACUGUUGAUAUCGGGCUGUCAAUGUAUACAAACACCAAUAUAUCCAUCUCUGCUGGAAUGACAGUCCUUGAGGCACGUUGGAAGUGGUGUCAGGGUUCCAUUCGGUGCUUGCACGGUGCAUCGUGGCCUUGGCUGGCGGGGCAGCUCUGUGCUGUGGUGAGACAAAGUCAGUAAAGGUGAUUCAAGAGCUGAGAAGCAAUUCAAUGGUGUUGCAUGGGGGAGUUUGCAAUAAUCCUGCCUUGUGCUGUCAGCCUGGACCCUUCCAGUCAUGUAAAGCGAAAAGAGUCUGGUGAAGUGUGAGUGCUCUUAUCUCAUUCCAUCUUUCAGCAAAGCAAUGACCCAUGCCACAUGGCCUCCCAAAAAUGCCUUCUUUGUUUAGCCAAGAAUUACACCCUGUAAACAUUCCCAAUCGCUGCAUUGAAAUGGCUGCAUUUAUUAUAACAGCCUGCCAUAAACGUUGGUUCAAUAGUCUGUUCUGAGAGGGGUUAAUCCAUGCUCUGGGAACAUUGUUAUCAGUGCUGAGGAGUCCCAGCAGUGGUCUCUGAGGUCUCAUUUGGUUCUAUACAACACAGGUGAAGCUUGGUGAUGCCCACUCCUCUCCAUGCUCUGUCUCUCUUAUGUUUCCCUACAACUCCACUCAAGGUUUGCCUAAUAUUUUGCGAAGUAUGGGGAAAUAUUUCCCAUCAAGAAGAUUGAGGUCAAGGGGAAAUCAUGAUAUGCCUCUUUGUCACACCCUGGUAAAUUUAUUUUGAUACCACUAAUUGUCACUGCAGGCAAGUUGUGUGUCAACCUUAGUUGUCCCCUCUGCAGGCUCUCUACCAUCAUGACUCUGACAGUGAGAACAGGUGCAUCAUGUACAUCAAAGGUAGCUAAGGUUUCUCAGGGCCAUGUUCUGUCAAGUUUUUAAAAUCUGCAAGGUUAGGUGUUUUACCAUCGUUCUGUGCAACCUGUUCCAUAACUUAACUGUCCUCCUUUGAAUUUAUUUUUUAAUUAAAAUGGAAUUUCUCUUUCUCGUGAUCAUUGCCUCUCAUCCUUUCACUGUGCGUAUCUGAUAAAAGUUGGACUCUAUCUUCUUUGUAGCCAUCUCUCAGUUAGUAGAAGCCACCGAUUAGAUCCCCUCCUUUAACUUUUCUCAGUGCUGAACAAAUUCACCUCCCUCAGCUUCUCCUCGUGUGUUUGGCUUUCUUGAUAACCCACUGCUGGACUCAGAUUUGUUGAUAUCCUUUUUGCACUAAGAGGAGAGAAAACAGUCCAAAAGUGGAACUGGGGUUUUAGUUGCAGUUCAUGUUUUGUAUUAACUGUCUAUUCUGCUGACACCAGAUGCUCAAGCCUGGGCCAUUAUUGUAAAUAUAAUGGCUCUUACUCAACUGUUGGGAACAUCAGGGCGUACCUGCUCAGCCUUCUUGGAAGAGCCUGUUUCCUGAACACGCUGUACCCAGGUCAUCCUGUCCCAGUCAUUUGUCUCUCUGUGAUGGCAAUACAAUUGUUUGCCUUUUUCCCCCAAUGCUGAACUGACUGGAUCAUCCUGGUGGUGCUGAAUUUGUUUUCUGCUUUGACAAAGUGCAUACACUCCUACAGCUUUUUACGAAGGAACCAGAAACAUCUAGGAAAAAGCAGGAGGAGUGGAAAGCCCUCAAUUUCUUUUUCUAUGAAUAAUUUAGUGCCAAGUUAACUGAAACAUUUGAAAAAGAGAUUUUUGGUGCCUAGCUUCAUUAAACCCUCUAUCCCCAAAUGUAUUCUCUGUGAGUGCCAGCAUCCAACACUUCAUCUUGUCCCAGUCACAGCAAAGACCUUGUGGAAAUAAAAUGCAAGGGAAGGGAGAAGAAAAGCAGAUUAUUGUUGCCAUUAUGCAUGUCUGUGUGUGCACACGUGCUCUACAAACUUACAGCAAGGGAAAAGAAGGAAUGAAGCCCCAAGCCACAUCAGCCUUCCAAACCGUGCACUCCUUUUGGGGGUACAAGCCAUGCUCCAUCCCAUUAAAGAGCAUUGUGCCACACUCCAAACCCGUUCUCUGGAGCACGUGUUUUAAUCAGAGUAUUAUAUUCUCAUCCACUAAGCUUUUACCAGCUCGAUGAGUGGGACCUCCUUCACUUGGCAGCGGUUUCUGUCAGCGAUCUGUCUUUGCAGCUAUUUCCGUGGGAAGGUCCCUCCAUCUGGCGCUUGGCAGAGAGGGGAACUUUCCUCUCAAAUGUUUUCUCUCUCUCUCUCUCGCCCUGUUUAAGGUAUACCCUUUGGAAAUCUUCAACUUCCAAGAUUUAUUUUUGCACAGGGUACAUACUUUGUUUUACGUGGUCUGGCUUUCUUUUCUUUUAACAAAACGCCACCCCCGUGCUCUGCUUAUCCUGGCAGAGGGAGAAGAAUGCUGUUUGCUUUAAUAUUACCUUCGGUCUCAGUAUGCAACAGGUCAAAAAGAUGUGACAAGUACACAUGCUAAUCCCUUUCCCUUUCAGUUAAUAGAAUAACACAGAUGGGAAAGUUUACAUUGGGAUCUGACACUCUCUCCAAGCUGAAGUUAAGAAGGAGACGGGUUUGGACGUUGCCUUUCAGAUCAGAGCAGUUACUACACAAACUCACCUUCCCACUCAGCGUCAAGUUGCUCCUGUCAUCCUGAGCUGUUUGCUCUGCUAAGAAUGUUCCCCUUCCCCUUCUGCUCCCCUUGUAAAAGCAGUAGCUGGAGUUGGAUAAGAUUCUGAAAGCUUCUGUAGAAUGAAAUAUUCCCCAAGAAUCAGUGAUGUUCCAGUGAAAAAUAUCAACGUUUUCCACUGGAACACCAUCAUUUGUUUUGAAAUGGUGACUUUUUAAACAUUUGGCAUUUCUGGGCAUUGAAAUAUCACAUAAGAAAAUAAUUCCCACUUAAAUCAGAUAAUUAGAAAUAUUAAUUUAAUUGCAAUAAACCCCCAUAUCACCAGUUUUGUAUAAUCAGAUUGUUUAUCUUUCAUUUGAUUCUGUUUUCUGUCUCUUUGUAGCCUCCAGAAUAUGUUGUCUGACAUUUUGCAUGUCAUAACCCAUUUGUAUAUUUGCAUGCCUGAAGAUUUGCCACUUAGGCUAUUUCUGCAAGAAAAGCACAGAAGAAUAAGACCCAGGAUUAUGCCUAUGAUGGGAAAAGCUGCAGCAGGGACUGGCUGAAAGGGCUGAUCCAUCACACACCAAAUAUCACUUUCUUCCCAACCAGCAGCUCUGAAUCUUGUACCCCUGUGAAAAGGCCCAGAAACACAGAAGUGCCCACCUUUGCCUCUGAUCUUAUCAUCUUUAUCUGCUGUAAAAUAUCUAGCUUCAAGAUUCCUUGUGGUUUCUCCAGAAUUCCUUAAAUAAUUCAUCACUUGACCCUCAGAGAAAAGACAUCACUGGAAGCCACCCGAGGGAAGAGAUCACCCUGCUGGCUCCAUGUGGAGAGGUGUGGGCAUUGGAAAGGAGAACAAUGAGUCCUCCAGAAGGUGUUUAUGGAUUUUUGGUGCUAAGAACAUGACUGCUGGUUUCACGAGUGCAUCAGAAAUGAAAACCAAACAGUGUAUAGUCAUAUGGAAAAGUAAACAGCAAUGUAUAAAUGGAUGAAGCAAAUGUGGUUGAAAGCAUCACACUGUCCCACUGUGUGGACUUCAGGGGAGGGAACAAACUAGCUAGAGGGAAACAGCCAUAGAACCUGCUGUCUCCUGAGAAGUUGUUUGGGAAGUUGGGAUGCAGAGGGAAUAUGGUGCAGUACAACCAGGGGGUGCAGUACUGUGUAACUGCAAAAGCUCUUUUUGUACAGAUUGGAAUAUUUUCACCUUUGCUCCAGUUCUCUCUGCCUGAUAAUAGUCGUUUGCCCAUCAUCCCACAGUGGGAAAGCUCUUUCCACCAGUCAGUGUACAUUGGCAGUGAUUCUGCUUUCCACUCUGAGAACAACCCACUCUGCCACCAGCAGAAGCUGUGAGAGUUUAGUUUUGUUUGUUUUCCUUACCCCCCCCCACUAAGUGGAGGUUGUUCCCGAAAAUGCUUGUAACUGAUUCUUAUUUCAGGUAUAUGUCUCUCCCGUGGGUUCUCAAGCUGUGGUCUGUGGAGUAUGAAUAGCACAUGAAGUCAUUCCUGCUGAUACCCACAACGAAACAUGAGAGAAUCACGCAAAGAUUGGCACAUUAGUGGAGAAGGGCAAAAGUACCUCGUUACCCUUUCUUCAUCAAACCCAGAGUUCAGCUCUGGCAAUUGUGUCUUUGCAAAUCAAUCAUCAGGGAGGUUCUUUCCCCUUUUGUGCAUAUAUAUAUUUACUUAUUCCAUCUUUUUUCAACACCAUGUUGGGCCUGAUCCUGCAAACACCAGCUGCCAUGGUUGUGGAGUUUUCUAGUGCUUAAAGUGCGUGUGCUGAGUGACAAAGCAACUGGUAACCCUGGUCUCAGCUGAACUGUCUCGUUUCUCCUCCCUGCAAGGCAACGCUCGCAGAUGUGAGUGUGUGUGGAGAGCAGGGGAUGACAGUAUGCUGGCCUGGAAGGGGACCAGGCACUCGUCCCCUGGGUAAGCUGGCUUGCACGUCAAGUGGAAAGUUUCGUUAUUUACCAACUGGUCAAAAUUAUUUUGCUAUUGACAGAGGCUUCAUUAUGUCAGCCAUUCCAUUCUUUGAAAACAUGGGCAAAACCGAGAGAGUGGUGGCAGAGAGGAGGAAAUUCCAUUUCUUCCUAAAUUGAGUGGAAACAUCUUCAGGAAAAUUAAAGAAAAACCCGAGAGGAGGAGAAGAGCAAAAGAAAUAACUGUAGCCAAAGCCACUUUCCUUUUUCUUUUUCAAUCUCCCGUCCAACAUGCUCCUGGUAAAAUCAUUACAAAGGCCGUUUAUUUUUAAAAUUGAAAGAUUGGGGAGAGUCAUAAUGAGAUAUUAUGUGUAAAAGUUGCACAUAAAUUUUCUUCUGUCAUAUUUUGGGCUCGCCUAACGCAUCCCCUUGGCAGGCCUGAGGGAAGCUGAUCACUUUAGUAUAGAUUGUGUGUGCUUCAAUAAUAUUGCCCAAGGACAGAGCUACUGGGUGGCUGAGUUGGCUACAUGCUUAUUUAAAAAUUAGCUGGGCUUUUAUUGGCCACGCAAAAUUGUUCAAAAAGAAAAGUUUUAUACCAGAAAAAAGAAGCAUGUUUGGAGCAAGACUCUUAUCUCCUUUGUCUUUUGGGGAAUGCAAUUCUCUUACUUACUGGGGAGUUUUGUUCUUUCUCAUCUUUAUGGAGAGCCAUGGAAGAAAGGUGAAGUGAUUGUGGUGUGUAAUAUAGAGAAAAAGUCCUAUGGUGUUUGGUUUCUAGAGUGUUUCCCUACGGGUCACCCUGCACAGAUUUCAAGGAUAUGGAGUUGGACAGUAUAAUGUUUUGCUACACCCUGGUUUUGGUCUCAGGUCAAAUGGAUCUGUCUUCCUUUUUUAAGUGUGAGGACACAAGAUGACAUAAAUUUAUUACAUAAAAGUCCUAAAAUGUUUUUAUUAUUGUAUUUGUGUUUAGGCAAGUUUGACGUUUACUGUCACAUCUGCAGUCUGGGAUUUGUGUCCGUUCUCUGGGUUGGGGGCUUCUCCCGAAGGCUGUGGGUGUCGUGUGGUUUUUCUGCUGAUGAAGAUUUUAUUUGUUUCUUCAUACUUUGUCUUCAUUGUCCCCAUCUCUUUCUGAGGUUUUAGUGCUUCCAGGAUCUCAGCUGAGGGGUCUCCACAGCUGCCAAGAGCUGGGACAUUUCCUUUUCUUCCUUGGUCUAAACCAGAAACCGGUCUUCAAGGAGGCAAAGACCAUCAAAGAGCAUAAGAAUAAACAGUAAUUCAUAACAGUCUUUGCUAAUAUGCUUAAUUUAGAGCUCUGGAGUCCAAGCCCUAGCCACACCUCCUCCAUAUUCACUUUCAUGAAGCACUUGACCUAUUUACUCACUUUUUGACCUAGCAGGCUGAGAAAUGUGAUGGAAAAGACAUGACCAAAAUGAGAGGUUUAAAUAAAUAGCUUUUAGUGUGGGAGUAGGCCAAGUUCAUUGUAACUGUAAACAAGAUUUUUUUUUUUACAUGAACCCAAUCUGAGUACCCUUAUACUUUGGGCAAAGCUGAGUGAACCUGAGCUCGCAUCUAGUCUUUCUCUCAGUCCUGUGCCAAACGAAAACUUGAACUGGAACUUGGAAAGACAGUUCUUUAGCUCAACUGGUUCAGGUAAUCAAGCUCUGAAGCAAACCUCCCAAUCUUGUCCUGUUGGGAGUUACAGUUAAUUAAAUUAAAAUUUGAGUCUUCUGCACCGGUAUCUUCAUCUCUGGGUAGCAGCCUUGGGCGAGGUUGAAAGUGAAACUUGCUUCCUUUGCUUCAAGGCAGCUUUGUCUAAAAUCGACUCCAGAAUCAAAAGCACCAUGUGCAGCUAUUAAAACUCCCUCACCACAAGCUGCUCUGCCAGCAUUUCUGAAUACACCCGGUUCCUGCAGGUAACCCGGCACGCUUUCAUCUUGUGUGAAUUGUAAAAGAAGGCAUCAGGGUUUAUUAAAGAGUUUGUGUUGCUAAUGUGUCAUACAUUACGCCAUUAAUUAAGAGAAAUUACUUUUUCCCCGGUUGGGCGGCUACAUAAUGCUGCCAGCAUGUGUAUAUUAUCCGUGUCUCCCCACCCUGGCCUAACCCAAACGCUGCAUGAGUGAUUGUACCCCAGAGAAGCUCCAGCCUCUUCAGGUAAUUCAAUUGCUGAGUCUCCAAAACCAAGGAAUUAAAGAAACUGGGCUCUGCUCCCCUUGUAAUUAGUACCAGAGCGAGCAAGUGGGGUGCGGCGUGUACAUGUGUUCCCAAUCACAGCCCACACAAUGAAAAUGUUUUCUUUCUGGGACAAUCUGAAGAAACCUCACAGGGAUCUGGGGCUUUUAUAUAUAUAUAUGUAUGUGUGUGUGUGUGUAUAUGCAAUAAUAAUAAUUAUCCUCAUUAGAAAGUUACCUCCAAAGCUCUGCGACGUGUUUUAAAAAUUGGUGGGAUAGCUGGAUGAUGCUCCAAAGAGCCCCAGCCCACGCGGGACCUCUGGCAUCGCCCUGGGUGUUCGGGGCAGCGCUCGGACCGGGACCAGCUGGGUGUGCAGCACCAGGCUGUUUGCUGCCUGCAGCUGGGGCUGGACGGUUCAGAUGGGUACAUCCUUUGUCUGUCUGUAAUGUUUUGUUUCAUAACAUUUUUCCACCGAGCUUUAAUCCGGAGGGUGUUAUUUAUCCCGGGUGGUCAAAGAAGCAGCACACGCUCACCUAACAGCCCCUCAAAUUUCUGUGCUUCUCACUAAUGCUCUCCUUCCACAUUCCUGAGGAUCGGGGACACACAGUGGGAUGCUGGACCAUUAUUUUACAGAGGGUAACAAUAUUCUCCCUCAGACUGAGCUGUAGGGUAUAAUUAGAGCUGUUCAGGAAUUUUUGUCAUUAAAAGUCUUUUGGUUGGAAAAUGCCAGUUCUUUGAAACAACCUUCUUGGAGUAAAGGGGAAGGUUUCUUGAGUCAAAGAGGGACAAACUCUGGAAUAACCACUAGCCCUGGGUUAAAGAGAGCUGUAUUCAAGUCCCAGCUCCAGUGAAAGUGCAGGUUACUUAUACAUUAAAGAACAGCACUGUAAAAUAGCAAUGAAGAAUUCUGUGCUCACCCAGUAUAUGGACAAAUCAUAAAGCUACAGUUUCAAAGAGAUUCACCCUGCCUGAGCAAGAAUUUGUGAUUAUUUCCUAUCUCUCAGGAAGCAUAACCAAGUUCUGGGUCUUGUGUAGCUCUCAAAAAUGAGAGCACUUCUUCAAAAGGUCACAUUGAAAACCUGUGCAAGGAGGAAUAACCUUCAGAGGUGCUGCUGCUGAAGCAAGCUGGUGAGCAGUUGUUGGGGGGGAACAGAGGCUCUCCAGUCACAGACCUGGGUACUAAAACCAUCCUGCAAGCAAUUAAUUAACAGCCUGGCACAAUCAUUGUGUUACUGACUCAGUAAUGACAUUAACACAAAUCCCACAUACCACCAACUAACUAACAACAAGAAUUCACUCCAUCAUGAAGAUAAAACUUCUCUGCUGGAAGUGGGAUGCCUGAUCUAAUAAGCCAUUAGCUUACAUCCCACAACUAAUGGCUCACUGGUGAGCAUCACUUUGGUACCCAGCACUCAUGAUUACCUAUGGAAGUGGUUGAGUCACCAUCUCUGGAGAAGUUGAAAGGAUGUGUGGGUGAGGUUCUCAGGGAUAUGUGUUAGUGCCAGAGUUAGGUUAUGGUUGGACUUAGUGAUCCUGAGGGUCUUUUCCAACCAAAAUGAUUGUAUGAUUCUAUUCCUGCUGGAAGAUGGCACUCUCAGGAGUAACUGCCACUGCCAGAAACGGCGAAGCUGCAGGUAUCCUACAGAAAUAUCACUCUGUAGGUCACAAUAUGUCCUGGGCUGGAUGGGGAGGGAGGUGCUAGGAAAGCUAUUGGGAAGGAAAGCCAGGUUUCCAACUUCUGUGCAUUAAAGGACAUAACAAAUUAACUAGAGUAGACAACCAAGCAACAUAAUUAAUUAUGACUUCACCUCCUUAUCUAUAUAUAAGAAAAAUGCCCUUUUUUAAUUAUUAUUUUUUAAAUCAGGAAUUUUUUUGCUACCCCAGGAAGUUGGUUUAUUACAUGAUUGUUGCUUCAGUGAAAUGUACCCAGUUCUCUGGGAAAGGCUGGUUUUGAUGAAUAUUCAGAUUUGAAGGAAAUCUGAAACAAAUUACUGAAGUGGGACUUUUCAAUAUUUUCAUGAAGAAAGUUUGUUUCUCAUUUGAAGGUGACUUAAGAUUUGAAAUUUGAAUAGUGGUUUUUAUUAGAUAGAAAAUAGUCAAAUUCUGAAAUAACAAUGUUGUGAAUUUUUUAAUAACCCUAUUGAUGUGAUAAAAUUAUCACAUGUAUCAUUUAGAGUUAUUACUGCAAAAGGAAAAUAUUUCAGAUAAUGCCUUUAAAGAAAAAAAAGUGAUUUAGAAAUGUCAAGAAGUCUUAAAUGUAGGAAAAUCUUUUCCCUCCUCUUUCAAGUACCAUUUGCUUAAAUGCCAUUUAAUGUUGGUUUUACAUUUGGCUGAGUUUCCUCUGUUUUAAAGAUCUUUAGCUUGCAUUAAAAACAAAAAAAAAACAACCAAAAAAAAGGCUUGGAAAUCCAUGUGGUGGUCGCUGAGGACUCGUGCUACUGACAAACAUUGCUAGGAGCUGCACAUCCGAGAAAUCAAACACAAGAAGUCUACUCCUAGAAACUCAGUUUCAGGGGAAAUCCAGAAACUGGAAGAGUGAAGAGAUCUAUGAGUCACUACUGCUGGGGCCUGGGCACAUGGUGUCAAGGGGGAUGGAAAAUGAAUGUUGGGGUUUAGGGACACGACAACAGAGAAAGCAGCCAUGACAAGGACAAGUGUUUCAGGACAGAGAGAAGAAAGAAACAACAAGAAGGGCGGUUCUUUUACUGACUUGAGUUUGCAUCGGUGCUGUAUUUCCAAGGUGACUGGGAGGCUGGGCUAACUCAUCAUGAGAUAAAACAGCAAUGCCUGAUUUAGUGCUUUUUUAUACCCUAAAUUCUACUUAUUGGGAACUUAUUUAAAAUAAUGAAAUAUGGGAUAUCUGUUUAUUCAAGCUAAAUUUUAGCAUAGACUUCUGUGUAUGGGGAGCAUCGUUUCUGAGCUAAAAUAAUGUAUGAACUCUGUAAACUCGUUAGCUUCUCUUUGUAAACUUUCCCAGAUAACAAAAGGUUUCAUUUUCAGGAAUGACCUUUUUUUUCUCUGUUUCAUUUUCAGGUACUCUUUGUGAUCUGUUGUCAGGUCAUCACUCCACUAAUGUGGGAAUUUCCUUGUGAUGUUUAGGAAGAAAAGGACAAACCUUCUGAAAAGACACCGGUAAGCACACCAAUUACCCACACUGCAGUUUUUAGAAAAGUUUUCUAAGCCUGUUUUUACUCACGUAGAUUUUUGAUCUGGAUUUUAGUAAGAAACAGGACUCAGUAAACUUGAGUUCAGCCUGAAAUGAACAUCUGAAGCAGCAGACAGGUUCUGACUCUGAAUCUCAGUUUGUAGCUGGUAUUUAUAGCUGUGUCCACCAUAUCUCAAGACCAAGUUAUAAUUCACACCUGAAUUACCUCUUAGCAUGCACACAGCUAGUAUGAACUUCUUGCAAUAAGCCCUCAAUGCUUGGUUUAGUUUGAUAUUUUUAAACUUGGAAACAAAAUCAUUUGAGUUGCAUUUUCGCAAAUAUAAAAAAUGAGGCAUUUUGUACAUUCAACUGUACAUUUCAGAAGUGUUUGCACACUUAAACGCGCUAUUUUGUGAGGACUUUUGCUGUGCAAUGGCCAGAUCUGCAGUGCACAGACGCUUUGAGAGCGUAUUAACUGCUAUUGAGCAUGUGGAUUAGGUGCACUUUUUGUAUGCACCAUUAACCACUCGAAAAUUUUGACGACAAAGGAAUCAUUAUGAUCCUGAGAAAGUUUAUUAUAUAAACAUUGUCCUUUCUGGUUCAGUAAUGUAUUAUCCUCAUUCCUUUUGCACGGCCACAAAACUAUUCCUGCUCUUGCUUUUCCAAACUGGUGUAACUGGCAUGUGGAACAGCUGGUUAACUCUGCAAUGAUCCAAGAGCAGCAGAAGACAAGCAGUGCAGAGGGGGCUGCUUUCUUCUGCCAAGUGUAGAACUAAGCAGCUGCUUUGUAUUUUCACAUGAACUAAAACGUUUUGUUAACUGCUUCACUGCCGGGGUACAGGGUAUAUAUAGCAGGGUAUGGUUGCUGGCCCCCAGAGUUAUUCAGCUCUCAGAGACUUAGUGAUUCUCCUUUGGUUCCAAGUAGUGGCUGAUAGCAUCUAGGACAAAUGCUCCUGUCACGGGGGGCUUGAUUGUAGGAUGGUAUUCAAACAACUUUAUUUUCUUUAUUUUAGUGCAUUAAGCAUGCCCAUAUGUGCAAAAAUCUGCCCUUAAAAGAACAUUCUGAAGACUGUAAAUGCUUAAAAGCUGGUAAAUGCCAAUGGAGACAUAUGCUUUUUGAUCAUCUUUAAUUGUAUAAAAUAAUAAACUUGCAAAAGAAUGGGGUGGAAGAGACCUUGAGAUGUCAUCUAGUUCUCCAGUUGUCAAGCCUGUUCUUUAAUGUCUCAGGUUCUCCUGAUUUUCUCCAAAGAAAUGUGGCUUUUGGGGAUCCUAGGGAGGUUGCAUUACACCUGUUCAGAGCUGCAGAUCUGCAUCUUACUGUGAAGGUGGGAACGUGAACAAGGAAGCUGUUGUUAAUUAACAGAAAAGUAAGAUUCCUCUGUUUAGAGUAUCAGAAGUGAUACUGGGAAGAGAAACUUUUACUCUUCAAAGGAAAUACAGCCUGGAGAAACUGAGAUAAGAAUUACAAGGGCAGAAGUUGAACCCUAUGUAGUAUCUUUGCAUCCAGUGUUGCUCCUGCUUUGCUGGUGCAUGGGUGCUGUGGGAAGGGUAAUUAGGAAAAGGCUGAUCAAGAGUCUGAAGAUGUUGUGUUUGAUGUGUACUCAUGUACAAAUAAAAGAGAUGGUGUAGGGGAGGUGCAGUUGCAAUCUCAAAAAGAGGUUCUGGAGGAAGUGGAAAAGAUGUGCUGCAAAUAUUCAUGCUCCAGGCUCCAACUAGAAAAGGGACAAAGUUCAUGGGACUGUGAAGUGCCAGAAACCAGCCCAUGGGUAAGGUGCUGGAGAGCAGCUUGUGUGGCCUCUGGGUGCGGUAGAAAGCCUGACCUAUUGGCAACUUUCCUCUUCAGCCACUGGAACAGCUGGGACAUGAGUCCCUUGAAUAGUGUGGAGCAGAAGCCCGUGGUCAUUGUAUUCAUGAAAUUCAGUAGAAAACUUAAGUUAGUCUAAUUGGCCCGUGAAAGUGUCUGUGAGGUUGGGUGCUGACAGCAAGCACUGCAAAGUCAGAAGAUUGCACACGGGAAGGAAACAUUUGCUUACAAUAGGAUGUGAGGAAAUGGGACUGACUUCACCCCCCUGGGCAUGUGGCAGGGAAUCAUGAAACACCAGGUUUCAAGCUGAAUAUUUGCAUUUAUCUCCCAAACUUUGCUGUGUGCACUCUGAUGUGCAGGACAAGACCUGCUGGAUUCUAGACAGAGACAAGGCAAUGAGAGAGUGAUCCAGUUGCACUGCUGAAUGCCUGUGCUUUAUCUGCUAUUUAUUCAUAACCUUGUGUUUAAAGUCAUCUUUAACUUGCUAAACAAACCUUUCUUAAGUCUUUCUGUUUUGAAGGAUGGCGGAGAAGUGAAGCGAAGUGAAGCAAAGUGAGACUGACAAACAGGAUGAACUGUUUUGGGGAAGAGAGUGACUCCCUUUAUAGAGAUAGCAGCUUCUUGAGGGAUGUGGACCCAAGAAUAACUUUAGGGAAACCAGAGACUCUGCAACUCUGCAGACAGACUUGAAUGGGUCAGUGUGGAAGCUCAAAAGGCCGAGUUCCAAAUCUGGGAAAUGUCACCUUCCAUCAGGCAUACAAUACACCAGAAGAAAAGAAAAGAAAGCAGGUAGUAGGAAUGCUCCAGGUGGACCAAAUCUUCACAGCAGUGCUCUGUAGGUGAGUCACAGUAAAAGCAUUGCCAAGAGCAAGAGGGAGGACAAAGCCAUGGGCUCCUCUGCUUUGUUAAGUUUGCAAAACACUUGGUGAAUGAAGCUGUGAACUGUAGGGCUGAUGCUGAAGGCAUCAGGCACUGUAGGCUCCUGGUUUUCUGCAGAUGGAAUCGGUUUGUGAACAUUCUGUGUUGCAGAGAUGCUGAGGCUUCACCUGCCUGCAGGUGUUGGAGCAGGGCCUUGAAUAUAAGACCUGCCAUGUAUUAGUAACUUCAGCUCUGAAAACAAUGUGUCUCCAUUAUCUCAGGUACACCAAACUCACGGUGACUUACCCUAGUUUUUAUGCCUCAGGACCUCAGACCUUCUCUUUUCCCAUCCUCAUCAGACUUCUCUGAAGAAACAUCCAUGGGUAUUUGAGAAGUGCUCAGAUGCUGUCAUGAUAAGCCUGUUGCAAAAUCCAUAAGAAAAUGAAUAAUUCUGUGUUUGAUGAAGGGUUUGAAAGGUGCGCCGUAUAUAUAGUGCAGAGGCCCCUGUGGUUAGGCAUAGGAAACAUAUAAUAUGGAGUAUAUGCCCCUUCAGAGAGCAGCAUCUGACCUAUAUCUUGGAAGAAAUUGUGAGGGCUUUGGAGAAAUCCAGUGUACAACCAGCUGACAAAGGCUGUGUCACAGCACACGUGCACCAGCAGCUGGGGAUGCUGCUUCGCCUGCUCUGCUGCGGUCGGCCAGGACCAUUCCUCUGCCACCCACCUCCUCCAUACACCUGCAACACUGAGGAUUUAUAGCCAGGAGCAGCCUGUGUCCAAACGGAAUCACCAGCAGAGCAAAAGCUGAGACAACUUUGCCUUAAUCAAGGAAAAGGAAUUUCAGAAGGAAGUAAUUUUAUUUUCAUAACACUAAGUAAAAACUCCUAGUGGAUGGCCUGCUUGCUCUCUCAUAUUCUUUUCUGGCUUUGUCUUGGAUGUGGAGAUGUGACUCCAAAAAAGCAUUAUCUUUAUUUCCAGAAGUUGGUGUAGAGGUUUCUGUUGAAAACUGCAAGAGCCAUGUGUUCAAACACUCCAGUUCUGGAUCUUUCCAUUCUCCUUGUUAUGCUCUGAGCAUAACAUUUUCAUAUAAUCAUGAGAAGCUGAACUGCUUUCUCAUCUCCUGACACACCAAAACUGCUGUUGGAAUGUCCUAGAAUGUCUUAGAAAACUUAGAAUGUUACAGUUGAGAGAAAAAUGGUAAAGUAUGUUUUUUGCUUUACAUAUCCUGAGAAGCUUCUCUGAGGACUUCACUACCAUAUACUUAGGGUUAAGCACAAACUGAGCAUCAUGAAGCAAGGGGAGUCAGCCUGGGUUUGGGUAAACUUCAACAACUAACUUUGAAGCUUUGGUGAACUGUCAGAUGUCUGUUUGUUAGAACCUGGCCCUCAAAUUAAAUGGCAGCUCCAAGCAUCCCACCCAGUACAGAGGACUUACCACAUCCAGAUCAGGUCCUGGCACAGAACCUGUAUUUUCAAUAUCUGAUGAGUGGAUGAUCUAGCCUUUAGGACAGAGUUUUGGAUACUCAAUGCAAAUGAGUCUCAGUUAUGUAUCACUAACUUAUUUUAUGACAUGCCUCCAGGAAAAAGAGGGGAGAAAUGAUACUUGAAACAUACAUUUUUAAAAACAAAUUUUAGUUUUAAGAAAACCUAGAUAAAUUAUGAGUCGAUUCUUCUUCAGCCAUUAUUUACUAGACAUUUUAAGAGAUUAUCUGUUUAUUUAUUGCCCUCUGAGACCACUAGAGUGGAGGGAAAAUGCGGUUAGUCCAUCACUUCCCCGGAUAAAAAAAGAUGCAAACUCUUAAUAAAGUAUCGAUGGCACCCCAAGGGGACAAAAAGAGAUUUGCAUCCCAGAGGCCCAGCUGACAGACCACAUAAGUUACUGCAGCAGCAGCGUGGUCCUGUCAGAGAAAGGAUGAUGAGAGAAGAAGGAGCAAAACAUGAUUUGUACUGGCAUGCAGUGAACAAGCUAAGCUGUGUAAAAAUGAAUACAUGAAAUUAAAAGGAUUAAUGGGACAAGUUAGUGCAGGGUAGCAGGGAAAGUCCCCCGUCUAGGCACUUCUGCCAGGUUCCACCCAGACAGGUUAUUUUUUUCUUUUAAACCUUCUUUUGUAAGUGAAAUUUCAUCUGGAGAGCACCCUCAUGAGCGAAAUUCAAUUCCCCCCCCAGCUCCACCUGGAUAAGGCCUUUGAGCUUUUAAAAUUUGCUUUCAUUUAAAAAAUCAUGGUGGUUUUCACAAAAGCCUGAAAUCUUGGCUCGGUAUGAAGAAGGCUAAUGGCAUGUUAGCCAUCAGAAAUCAUCCAGUGAGUUCAUUUGCAUCGAAUGCUCCUCUUAACCUCAUGUUGUAAAUCACUUUUAAAUAGCUGCGCCGCUUCACCCCGGGGCUGGCUGCCGUUCAGGACUGAGCAGAAUGGUUUCUGCUUAUUCUGUGAAGGCCUUUGAAAUCACUUGUGAUAAAGAUGUAUAGAUGUAAGGUUUUUUUACUAUUUAAAUCACAAAGCAAGGCCUAAAUAUUUUUCUGCAAUAACAUUUUGCCGUGGAGCACAGUCUGUUCUAUCCAAGCCUGUCCGCUCCCACCCAUGUGCAAGUAUGCAGGGUUUAUCCCAUUAGGUAGUGGUUUAGGGUUUUUUUAGUACUAUACCUGGUCUUCGUCUUGCAAAAGGCAGUUACAGCAUUCACAAGAUGACAUUCAUUUCAUGCAACAGAAGGCUGACUGAUUGAAGGGAAGGGAUGAUAUUUGGGAAUGAAAAACAAAGCUGUGACAUGUAAAAUUACGUAUAAAGUGAGGUCUUUUUUCUUUCCCCCUCAUAAAAUUCUCAACAAGUGAAUUCUAGAUGUCAGCAUUUAAGCAUUGUCAGGUAAUUCUUAUGUUACUGUAGUAUCUAUACACCUGCAGAGAAGUCACAGGUGUUGCACGGUCUGAACCUGAGGGGCACAGUGUGCACAGAAGAGCUUAUGGCUUUAGGUUGACCAGUCAGAAAAAGUGAAGACCAGGAAGUGUUGCCACUGUUUACUUCAGUUUCUUUCUCCCUUUAAAAAUAACUGCAACAAGUUGCAGCUUACUUAGAUUAAUCAGCAUUUAAGAUGAUGUAGAGAUUGGUGCCAUGGGGGCAAAAAAAAAACAUAUUAAAAAGACAAAAAGAAACCCUGAAGCCUACAGGUGCAGCAACAAUCUACUCAUAUUGACCCAGGCUUUCUACUGAGUAGGUAGAGAUUAGAAUAAGCCUGAGCAGCUCCAUUGGUCAUCUGUUGUCAUCACACCUCGAUACUGCUGCUGUCGCACUGGUGGCUUCUUGAAGGAGAAAAACCAUUGUCCUCCAGGUCACUUCUUCAAUCAUCGCAGUUGUAUUCAGUCUUCAACAAGUUGUUGCUGACCGUGUGUGGCCAUAAUAGUUCAGGUUACAUUACCUUGAAAGGUGAAGCAUCUUCUCUGCUUGUCUGUGGAAGAAGUGACAAGAGGCUGUUUGAAGAUGUUGGUGCAACUCCAGCACAGACAUUUGAUCUUUUUGUGGAUUUUUUUUGCAUCUGUUUUCCUAACUUAUCAUUUUCCUUGCUACAGAAUAAAACCCAAGUCACGUUUGGAGGUCUUACUGCUCCUUCUGUCUUCAAAACAGAUGCUGGUGCCUUUGCCAAGGCAGCAGGUUCCACAGGAAGACAAGGCAAAGCUGAAAGACCACAUCUCACCAACUGCUCCCGGUGCAUGAGGAUGGAAAGGCCACCCCUGGGGAAUCAGCAAAUCCCCAGCAGCCAGAGACAGUCUCCUGCAGUGAAGAAAACCCUAAGAUGUUGGAGUUUGGGAAGGAGGAACUUGGAGUUGUUGGACUGCAUGGCUGCCUCUGUGGUGUUCCCAGGAUGGAAAGAUGCAGCAAAGAAGCAAAGUAAGUCAACAGGCAGGAGUCUGAUGCUCAGAGUUGAGAGGCAUCGACUCUAGUUCAUGUCCUACCCUGCUCCUGAGAACAUUGGUGAUUGCCUUCACUUGUCCGUGCCUAUACAAUAAGGUUGGUGAUGCUAUCUCCUUUGGAAAGUGCCCCAACAUCUUUCGAUGGUUAGCAAUAAACAUUUUUGUAUUCAUUGACUCUCCAAGUACUUCCCAAGAGCAGCUGCUCUUAGCACACCAUCUCCCCAUGAAGAUGUAUGGUGGAGCAGCUCUGCAGGCCUCAAAAUGGACUGGGAACAUUGUAGUGUUCCUCAUGGAGAAGAAUAAGUCAGCUGUAGCCAACAUUUGUUCAUUCACUCCUUUCCUGAGUGUGCAAAUGGAGCAGCCCCUAAUUACUCCUUAUUACGACGCCAAGUGGUGUAUUCACCAAGAGAACGGGAAAGACUAUUUCUCUCUUUCAGGCAGUAACAUGUAAAUGGCAUUUCUUAUUUCAUUCCUGCCAACUUUCAGACGUUAGCAAAGCAUUUCACUGAUAAUUAUUGAUCUUCUGUAUUUAUAGAAAGCUAGGACCUAGUACAAUUCAGUAUUCAGGAGAUCCCAAUUUUCUAUGAAUACCUGAGAAUGACUUGGUCGUUUUCCAUUUCUGUAAUUCCUUCUGUGUAGCUGGAGUAUGAAUUGCAUUCUUUAAAAUCCACCUAGUAGUGGAACAUGGCGAGGAAGCCGUGCCUGAAUUUCUUUCUUCUUACUGAAGCCAGACAUGUUGUUUUUAAUUUGAGCACUUCCAGUAUUAAUAUCCGACUUCAUUUACUUACAUCCAGUGUCAGCUUCCACACUCAAAUGGAUACCCUUGAACUAAUUGAUCAAGAAUUGCAAAUUGUGGCUCUCAGCUGUUAAAUAUGCAACUGGAUCUGUA